UGCUGAGCUGUGAACUAUACAUUUGUGAUG
rnacentral:piRNA from 1 species